UAACAAGGAUUCCCCUAGUAGCGGCGAGCGAAGCGGGAAGAGCUCAAAUUUAUAAUCUGGCACCUUCGGUGUCCGAGUUGUAAUCUCUAGAAAUGUUUUCCGCGCUGGACCGCACACAAGUCUGUUGGAAUACAGCGGCAUAGUGGUGAGACCCCCGUAUAUGGUGCGGACGCCCAGCGCUUUGUGAUACAUUUUCGAAGAGUCGAGUUGUUUGGGAAUGCAGCUCAAAUUGGGUGGUAAAUUCCAUCUAAAGCUAAAUAUUGGCGAGAGACCGAUAGCGAACAAGUACCGUGAGGGAAAGAUGAAAAGCACUUUGGAAAGAGAGUUAACAGUACGUGAAAUUGUUGGAAGGGAAACGCUUGAAGUCAGACUUGCUUGCCGAGCAAUCGGUUUGCAGGCCAGCAUCAGUUUUCCGGGAUGGAUAAUGGUAGAGAGAAGGUAGCAGUUUCGGCUGUGUUAUAGCUCUCUGCUGGAUACAUCUUGGGGGACUGAGGAACGCAGUGUGCCUUUGGCGGGGGUUUCGACCUCUUCACACUUAGGAUGCUGGUGGAAUGGCUUUAAACGACCCGUCUUGAAACACGGACAAA
rnacentral:rRNA from 1 species